GGCUGUAGCCAAGUGAUUGUUGCUGAACUUACCUGUGUCGAAAGGUCAGCCUUCCAGUGCUAAGGCUGGGCACAGGCACUAAGGCAAAUUGGAUUGUGAAUGAAGGCCCUGAGGCAUGUUCUGCACUUUGCAACUGGUCUGGCAGGCUCCACUCCUCCACCUUCUAAGUCUGCCACAGGCAUGGGAAACACCUGGGCAGCAACAAAGGUGGUUAAGGCAGCUUCGCCAAGAAGAGGAGCCAAGAUGGUUAACUAGACGUAGCCAGGAGGAACAUCUCCCACCAAGAGACUGAGCUGUCAGGAAGACUGGUACAUUCUGAGCAGAUCUUUGGAGGGAAGGCAUUGAGAGUGGAUGGAAGGAUGAUGCAGGCACUGGGCUGAAGAGGGAGGAAGCUGGGAACCCUGUACAGGACUACUGAGCACCAGGACUUGUUUCUGGCCCCCUGCAACUCCUGGGAAAGGGAGAACUCCUCCAGUGCUCUCAAGUGUGUUACAGACCACUAAUUAUUAAAUGUGGAAGCUCUGGAGCAGAGAACCUUUCAACUGAAAUGAUGACAAACGAUGCUGGCUGAGGAGAGUCAGACCUGAAAAAUUAGGAAUCCCUAAAAUGACGUCAACCUAUAAUUCCUAUUACAGAGCUCUGAUUUCUACUGAUCGUUUUAGGAACCAUAUCUACUAUGUGAGAAAAGCUGCUGGUGGGCCUAAUUUAGAUGAAAAGCAGAAAGGCCUUAAAAAAGAAAUGGGAAAGGAAUAUACAGAAGCAAGAAGAUGAUUGAAAAAAGAUGGCAAUUCAUGUACUUGUUGAACACCAGUUCUGAGCUGCAGAGCAGGAGGCACAAGACGUAAACAAAAAAGUCUCUGUUAUGGUCCUAAAGAAGCCAAUCAUCUAGAGAAAUGUAUGCACAGCAGGUCCAGCAGAAUGGGCUUUGCGCUGCUGAGGGAAGCAAGAGGAGAGCAUGGGCUGGGAAAGGAGAUGAUCAGGCUCACUUCCCAUUUCUCUGUGGAAGAACCGUGGCAAACACAGAGUCAACUUACAAUGUUCAUUGGAAUUUUUCCCACUUGACUCCUUCGCAAGUUGGAAUAAGGAGUUUGGAAAGGGAGGAUUUCUUCAUAUAAAAAUGGUCUGGGUAUAUCCACGCAAAACUAAAGGGAGUGGAAGAGACCCUAGGUCUACACAUUUGAUGGGAUAGACCCUUCGGGCUCAGCCUCACCUGCAGGUACUGAAGGAAGCCUUAGUCUGCUAUACAGAGCACUCUGCACCAUGGGGAGAAGAUCAGUACGCUAAACUUGGGUACUGGGCCUAAAUCUUAAGAAGUGACCUCAAACCUAGGAAGGGUAGUUUCAUCAGAAAAUAUCCUACAGCCUUCUAUCUGAAGAGCAUGAAUAGCUGCUGCUUUUUGUUGGGGCCUUUCAUUCACCAUGAAGAUACUGCAUUGUGGCACAGUCCUUGAAGAGACAAGUAGAGACGGGGUUUCACCAUGGUGACAGGCUGGUCUCGAACUCCUGACCUCAAGUGAUCCACCUGCCUCAGCAUCCCAAAGUGCUGGGAUUACAGGCACAUUGAAGAAUCAGAAGAUGUUUUCCCCCUGUGUUUUUGAUGGAAGGAAGAAAGCAGGAUUUGCCAGGAUGCAUUCUGCAUCCAAGAACAUGAACGGAAAUGAGCCACAGAAAAUCUGGAGUGAUGGCAGCUGUUGUGAGAGGUGGCAAUGAAAUGGAUUUCUCAGACACAGAGAUGUGGUCUCCCACCAGGUCCCAUUUCAGUGUAUGGUUUCUUGGAUUUCUCUGCCAGCUUCAAACAGUGCUUCUGAUAAAGUGAUUUAUGAAGUAAUGGGAAAUGUAUGUUGACUCAUGGAGUAACAAUGAGGAAAUAGGCAUUGGCACCAGGACUCUGUUGACAUCAGGACUUCAGUGAGGGGGAGAUUCUGCAGAGAUGUGCAUAAACUCAUCGCAGCUGCUCUACCAUCUGACAACCUGAUGGUCAUGGGGGACCUCAAUGCACGUGUUGGUGGUAGUGCCAAAAUGUGGAAGAAAAUUAUUGGACCACAGAGGAUUAGUCUCUUCCUGCAUGGUGAACAGACAGAGCAAAAACUUGUAAUCACAGACAACAGCGUCAAUCAUAUAAGUUAGGAGAAAAAUAUCAUGGAUAUGCCACAAAUCAAAAACAGUGACAUCACACCCAUUCUGCCAUUGUUUCACAGCAGAAUGCCAACAAGCUGACAGUCUGAAUGGGUCUGAGAUCGUUACCCGAUAUGCUUCAAAUCAGGAGAGCAUACGGCAACACUCAUUGACUUACAUAUUCUGGGUAAGACACAGAGCAAAGAACUGCAACACAGGUUAAAGUUUCAGAAAGAGAAGAAGCAGCCUUCACUAUAUCAGACAGAUGAAUCCAGCUCCAAUCAAUAAUUGAGUUUUGGAUUGGAGGAAAGAAUAUUUGGACAUUAAAGAAAAUAAGCAGAGAGUGCCUAAUCUCUUCAAUUCUCAAGAUCAUGCUUAACAUGACAACAUUAAUUACAGCAGAGUGAGACAGGCACAGAAGAGGAGGGACUUGGAACCUGACCUAAAUACGGAAGUGUCAAGCCUAGAAGGAAGUAAAAUUUGGAAGAAAGUACAUGGCAUAUGAAAGAAAAAUAACAACCCAACAACAUCUGACAUUAUGGAAUACUUAAAUAAAAAUAAAAUUUUAGAUUCA
rnacentral:lncRNA from 1 species